rnacentral:rRNA from 1 species
CGUGGAGACAGGUGGUGCAUGGCUGUCGUCAGCUCGUGUCGUGAGGUGUUGGGUUAAGUCCCGCAACGAGCGCAACCCUCACCCCUUGUUGUCAACAGGUCACGCUGGGCACUCUAGGGGAACUGCCCCGGUCAACGGGGAGGAAGGCGGGGAUGACGUCAAGUCAUCAUGCCCCUUACGCCCUGGGCAACACACGUGCUACAAUGGCUGGUACAAAGGGAUGCAAGACCGCGAGGUGGAGCUAAUCCCAAAAAACCAGUCUAAGUUCAGAUUGCAGUCUGCAACUCGACUGCAUGAAGGAGGAAUCGCUAGUAAUCGCGCAUCAGCACGGCGCGGUGAAUACGUUCCCGGGCCUUGUACACACCGCCCGUCACACCACGAAAGCCGGCUGUACUCGAAGUCGCUGAG